rnacentral:pre_miRNA from 11 species
UGGCUGCUCAGUAGUCGGUGUAGGAUCUGUCUAACAUUGCUACCAACAGCUACAUCUGAUUACUGGGUCGCUG